GACGAACGCUGGCGGCGUGCUUAACACAUGCAAGUGGAGCGACGAACCAGGGCUUGCCCUGGGGCAGAGCCGCGAACGGGUGAGUAACACGUGGGUUACCUGCCCCGAUGAUUGGGACAACCCGAGGAAACUCGGGCUAAUACCAAAUGUGCUCCUGGCCAUAAUGGCCUUGAGGAAAGGAAGCUUCGGCCUCCGCAUCGGGAUGGGCCCGCGGCCCAUUAGCUAGUUGGUGGGGUAACGGCCACCAAGGCGACGAUGGGUAGCUGGUCUGAGAGGACGAUCAGCCACACUGGGACUGAGACACGGCCCAGACUCCUACGGGAGGCAGCAGUGGGGAAUCUUGCGCAAUGCGCGAAAGCGUGACGCAGCAACGCCGCGUGGGGGAAGAAGGCCUUUCGGGUUGUAAACCCCUUUCUACGUUGGGACGAAGCUUCGUCGGUGAAUAGCCGGCCGGAGUGACGGUACCUUCACAGAAG
rnacentral:rRNA from 1 species